rnacentral:rRNA from 1 species
UACGGAGGGGGCAAGCGUUAUUCGGAAUUAUUGGGCGUAAAGGGCGCGUAGGCGGCUUGGUAAGUCAAAGGUGAAAUCCCUCGGCUCAACUGAGGAAUUGCCUUUGAAACUGCCUGGCUUGAGGCCGGGAGGGGGUAGCGGAAUUCCCAGUGUAGCGGUGAAAUGCGUAGAUAUCAGGAGGAACACCAACGGCGAAGGCAGCACUCUGGGCCGGUACUGACGCUGAGGAGCGAAAGCGUGGGGAGCAAACAGG